rnacentral:rRNA from 1 species
CCUACGGGGGGCAGCAGUGGGGAAUAUUGGACAAUGGGGGGAACCCUGAUCCAGCCAUGCCGCGUGUGUGAAGAAGGCCCUCGGGUUGUAAAGCACUUUCAGUGAGGAAGAACGCCUGGUGGUUAAUACCCAUCAGGAAAGACAUCACUCACAGAAGAAGCACCGGCUAACUCCGUGCCAGCAGCCGCGGUAAUACGGAGGGUGCGAGCGUUAAUCGGAAUUACUGGGCGUAAAGCGCGCGUAGGUGGCUUGAUAAGCCGGUUGUGAAAGCCCCGGGCUCAACCUGGGAACGGCAUCCGGAACUGUCAAGCUAGAGUGCAGGAGAGGAAGGUAGAAUUCCCGGUGUAGCGGUGAAAUGCGUAGAGAUCGGGAGGAAUACCAGUAGCGAAGGCGGCCUUCUGGACUGACACUGACACUGAGGUGCGAAAGCGUGGGUAGCAAACAGGAUUAGAUACCCCUGUAGUC